UAAUAUCUCACGUCUAUCAUGGACUAGAAUAAUCAUAACAAAUUAAAAGUACUUUACUGCGCAAGAUCUAGAGUAUGAAAUAACUAAAAAUAUAAAAGUACAGAUUAUUUACAACGAGCCCGAUGAAGAAAGAAAUCGGACUGUCAUAAUGCAUGAUGGCGAAGAAUUCUAACUGUCACCUGAAAAAUAAAAAUGAGAUUGUCAGUCUCGGGAGUGAGUUAAAAUCAAAUAAUCCUAUGACUAAUGCAGUCUCCUCUAUAAAAUAAUACUUAUUAUCUCAGUAUAACAUGCCAUUGUACAUCAAAUGCGAGUCAUACCAUAAUAAAAAAUAUAAAAUACAUUUCAAGACUUAUGGGAUGAGUGGCUCAGUAGAACUCUAACCCCAAAUACUAGCAGCCUUUCGACUCUCUUAUUCCAAUAGGUCUGGCGUCUAGAAAGCGAAUCUCGACUAGGGUCCUUACAUCCAACCUGAACACUUGAUUCCCAACUAAGCCGGCGCCUAGAGAGCAUUGCUCGACUAGGGACCUUUCUCCGGCAGUUAACUUUCACAACCUAGAGAGUUAUACUCGACCAGGGCAAAAAUCCAAAAUAACAUUGUUACCUAUCUCUGAUUAUUACCAGUGCGCACGCGGUCCUGAUAUAAUCCAUCAAGUGGCAUGUUCUACUAUAGCCUCAUCCCAAUGUCACAAUCAUAACACAUAUAUAUUAAUCAUAGUCUAACAUAAUCAUUCAACACAUACCGAAAUAAAGAUUUAGAAAUUUGGAUAAAGCAAACAUGCAUUUUGUGUAUAUAAAUAAUAAUAAUUGUAUUAAAAUAACAUUAAUUAUGAUAUCAAAAUAACGAUAUAAUUUCAAUAAUAAUAUUAUUAAAAUUAUUCUUAGUAAUUAAUAAUUAAAUGAAAUUAUUUAUAAUGCGAUACUGAUAAUCGCAUUAGACAUAAAUUACUAAAGCAUCGUAUUAAAUUUAGACAUAACAAUAGUGCAGUGAUUAUAUGAUUUUAACUUACAUUUCUGACGCGCUCCUCAGUCGUUACGUUACGGAUUAAGGAAGAAACUGACCUACCCUGGUAGCAUGAAGAAAGCUAUCGGUUAAGCCUAAGAUUGGCUGGUUCGGCGGAUAAGAAGGAGCUCAAUUCAAAUAUCAAUUUGGCUCAUUCAUCUCUUGGUGUUGAUUGUUACAGGUCUCUCAGUCUGCUCCUAUGCCUCAGGUGGAGCUGGCGGGAAGGAUGGAUUAUCUAUCUAUGAAAACACUCAAUUAAUAGAUAUUCUUAAAUUUUUUUUCUAGGCCUAGACCCUUAGAUUAGACUACCUAAAAUUAAUUUAGACUCAAGAAAUUUGUCGAAAAUUCAGUAGAACUUCUCCUACAUUACGAACAUUUACCCCCUGUAAAAGGGGUCCAGAACCUGCCAAAGUGUAACACCCCAACUCAAACUUCCCAUUGAAUAGCAAUAUAUAUAUAUAUAUAUAUAUAACUUUAUAAACAUAAUUUACUACUUAGUUACAAUAUACAUUCAUACAAUUUAAGUGGCAUGACAUACUUAAUAUAUAUAAGAAAUAUUUAUACAGUAGUUUAAUUCACACAAGUUCCCAAAAUGCCCCAAUGCUUUAGAUAACUCCUCUGGCCCACCUGAUAAUAUUGACUGAUGCAAAAAGAGCAAUGCACAGCUAAGGCUAUCUACAACUGCACUAACC
rnacentral:lncRNA from 1 species